rnacentral:rRNA from 1 species
AGUGAACGCUGGCGGUAGGCCUAACACAUGCAAGUCGAACGGCAGCACAGUAAGAGCUUGCUCUUACGGGUGGCGAGUGGCGGACGGGUGAGGAAUACAUCGGAUUCUACUUUUUCGUGGGGGAUAACGUAGGGAAACUUAUGCUAAUACCGCAUAUGACCUACGGGUUAAAGCAGGGGAUCUUCGGACCUUGCGCGUUAGAUUGAGCCGAUGUCGGAUUAGCUAGUUGGCGGGGUAAGGGCACACCAAGGCGACGAUACGUAGCUGGUCUGAGAGGAUGAUCAGCCACACUGGAACUGAGACACGGUCCAGACUCCUACGGGAGGCAGCAGUGGGGAAUAUUGGACAAUGGGCGCAAGCCUGAUCGAGCCAUGCCGCGUGAGUGAAGAAGGUCUUCGGGUUGUAAAGCCCUGUUGUUGGGAAAGAAAAGAAGCAGGUUAAUCCCCCGCUGUUCUGACGGUACCCAAAGAAUAAGCCCCGGCUAACUUCGUG